UACGUAGGGUGCGAGCGUUGUCCGGAAUUACUGGGCGUAAAGAGCUCGUAGGUGGUUUGUCGCGUUGUUCGUGAAAACUCACAACUCAAUUGUGGGCGUGCGGGCGAUACGGGCAGACUGGAGUACUGCAGGGGAGACUGGAAGUUCCUGGUGUAGCGGUGGAAUGCGCAGAUAGUCAGGAGGAACACCGGUGGCGAAGGCGGUUCUCUGGGCCUUACCUGACGCUGAGGAGCGAAAGCGUGGGGAGCGAACAGGA
rnacentral:rRNA from 1 species